AACACAAACCCAGAUUUAAGUACACAAACCCAGAAAUUAAAAUUCAAAAAUUAAAAUUUUCAAAAUCACCAUUUUCUCAACCCAGCAAAAUCAUCAAAUCCUAAAACUCCAAACUACCAAAUCAAUCCAAAAAUACCUCACAACCAAUCCAAACAAAAAAAUCUCAAACUCAGAAAAACCCAUCAUCCACCACGUCUGAAGCAAGCCACGAGCCCAGGGACAAUCACAGUGACCAAACCCUGAGCAACUCAUCAGUGGUAAGGAAGAUGCUGCCAACAACUUUGCCCGUGGCCACUACACAAUUGGAAAAGAGAUUGUUGAUCUUUGCUUGGAUAGGAUCCGAAAGCUUGCAGAUAACUGCACUGGUCUUCAAGGUUUCUUGGUUUUCAAUGCUGUUGGUGGCGAUACCGGAUCUGGUCUUGGAUCGCUUCUUUUGGAGCGCCUCUCUGUUGAUUAUGGCAAAAAGUCGAAGCUUGGUUUCACUGUCUAUCCCUCACCACAGGUCUCCACAUCCGUUGUAGAGCCUUACAACAAUGUCCUUUCCA